CUGAUUCAUGAUGAAUAAAAUCAAAUCACCAUCUUUCGGCUGAGUACCUGAUGGAUUUGCUUUUUUUCUGAGAGCAG